rnacentral:lncRNA from 1 species
GUCUCUCUCUGCCUUUCCUCAUUCACUUUCAGAACAGCAGGAGCGAUUUCACCUGACCCUGAGGAGUGACUCUGGGGGAGUAACAUGAAUAUCUUCAGGAAACUGCUUUCCUCCACAGCUUUGGUGGAGUCUACACUUGGAGAAGGGGACCCCAACCUGCUCUGAUGUGAAGGAAGCUGAACAGGUGGCCUCCAAACUAUAGCUUCCACCUCGGGAAGCCAACUUGUCUUCAGAUAUAAGUCAAACCCUCCAGUUGUAUUAGUAAUUAAUGUUAUUUUUGGCCUCUUCUGACUCUUUUUUUCUUGUUUUUUUUCAAUUAUUCUGAAUUGAAUGGAGAUAUAGGAUAUCGUUUAUCAGGCCCCUUGAAAGAUUCUAAAAUGAUGGAGAAUUGGAUAUCAAUGACUGGCAAACAGAACACAAAGAAAAAAAAUGCUUCUUUUGUCAUACUUUGGAAAUAAAA